rnacentral:rRNA from 1 species
UACGUAGGGGGCUAGCGUUGUUCGGAAUUACUGGGCGUAAAGCGCGUGUAGGCGGUUGCCCAAGUCGGGGGUGAAAGCCUUGAGCUCAACUCAAGAAAUGCACUCGGUACUGGGUGACUAGAGGACCGGAGAGGAUAGUGGAAUUCCCAGUGUAGUGGUGAAAUACGUAGAGAUUGGGAAGAACACCAGUGGCGAAGGCGGCUAUCUGGACGGUUUCUGACGCUAAGACGCGAAAGCGUGGGGAGCAAACAGG